rnacentral:tRNA from 1 species
GCAGGCAGGGCAACUGGUAAACCGCGUGGCUAACCACGAAAGACCGGGUUCGAUUCCCGGGCCUGCU